rnacentral:rRNA from 1 species
UACGUAGGGGGCAAGCGUUGUUUGGAUUUAUUGGGCGUAAAGAGCGUGUAGGCGGCUGGGUAGGUCCGUUGUGAAAACUCGAGGCUCAACCUCGAGACGCCGAUGGAAACCCUCCAGCUAGAGUCCGGAAGAGGAGAGUGGAAUUCCUGGUGUAGCGGUGAAAUGCGCAGAUAUCAGGAAGAACACCCGUGGCGAAGGCGGCUCUCUGGAACGCAACUGACGCUGAGACGCGAAAGCGUGGGGAGCAAACAGG